GUUUUUCAUAAGUGUCAAUUUUCCUUGGGAAUUCCAAUUAAUUGUCAAUUUGCUAACUUUUAUAUCUAGUUUAUCCCUGUUUAAAAAUUCAAAAACACAGGUUUGUACAAACUAAGAGGGUUCAGAAAUAAUAGCUAAAUCGUGCUGGUGCUGACCAACUUACUCGGAUUUUCAACCAAAUCCAACCGUUUUCAGAUCAGGAGCUGGGGAGGAAUUCCACGAUGUCACUGCCCGGAGGUGUACAAGGGGUUUGCCUAGACUACUUCCGCAGUCCGGUCUCCUUCCUGACUCUCUCAAGAUUACAGGAAACCCCCAACAUAUUUGCUUGCAAUAGUGUAGAUAUUGUAGGUUUGAUGCGUUUUCACGUAUUUAGCAAACCUUAAAAAACGAAAAAGACAUUUAGCACAAAAACUAACAAAAACAGUUUCUCAGGAAAACAAUGCGUGUUUCCCCCUAAAAUACUCUUUCUUGUUUUAUUAUGAUGGUAAAAUAAAGGGAUGAUUGAUUACCCAGAGGACUGUAACUUCCUGGCUGACGACCUCUUCUUAAAAAUACGUCACCCUUUGAUCCCAACCAAUAAUUGAUCCUAACAAAAUACCGCAAAUAUCUCUGGAAAAAAUGCUUACUUGAAAACCACACAGGACUCAGCUAUUCCAUCGAACCAUCGAACCAUAUUUGAUAGCUAUUUUCGAAAUAGCUUUUGUCCAUUGCGCAAAUGACGCACUUCCAAUGUUAUUGCUUAUAUCAAUUCAUGAAACCUCUGGCCACAGGGGCGUAGCCAAAUUGGCUGCGAGGGAUGCCAAACGUUUUUAUCGGCAAAUACAAGACAAAUGUCUAUAUUCUAAGUAUACCAUUUAUUGCUCCAACUCUUAAGAUAGUUAAGAACAAGCUGAGGCUGAGCCACUAUUAAAUUUAAUUUUGAAAAAUAUUUUACCUCAAAAAAGAGAAGUUUUUUGUCAUCUAGGGGUGCUUUUUCAGUGAAUUUUCAAAUUUUUCGGCAAGUAAAUGAUGUCUCUAUCACUUUGUUGGCAAAUGAACGAAGCACAGUAGGUAGAAAUUGCGAAAUUUAGCAAAAUGUAGCACACUUGAUAUCAAUUGCACUGCUCACAACCAGAGCCGGAGGCGACUCUUUUAAGGGGUCCGGGGAAAUUUUUUGAGACGACGGUUGCUAAAAUUGCGGCUAUUUUGGUUGCUGAAAUUGCGAUGGUGACUAUUACUUCAUUAUUAUUUUCAUUAUAGUUUAAGUAUGACUGGUAUUCUAUCGUCAUAAUGCAUGCGUAUUUCUUAACUAUAAAAUAUGCAAUUCUUUACAUUUAAAAAAUCUUAUGAAGUGAAAAACAUUGAAAUAUAUACUAAAUUUGAUCAAAACGGACACGCUCCACCAAAUAGAUUUUCACUUUUCAGAUAAUUUGAAAAACUUUACAUCUAGCAAUCAGAAUGGAACCCUUAAAUUUCAAUAAAAAACUAGUUGUUUCGAUCUUGGAAGAAGCUCGUUUAGAUGAGGGGCUAGAUGUCUCAAAAAAUUGAAGACCAAGAGAAAUCAGUCAAGUUUAUCUCUAUCCUCAAGUGAAACCAGGAAAAGGCCUUUGGUAAAAUUCAAGAUAAUGUCGGCAUUGUUAUUAUUGAUAGUGUUACAGCAAAGAUGAUUAGGUGAUUCAUGUCGAUUGGCGAGAUAUGGGAGGGGUUCAGUAUUGUUUGAUUAUACACAAGGUUGAAGGAAGAUGAUCUAGCAAAAAAGAGCAAAAUUCUGGGCAGCAAAAAGGGAUAACAUAUCUCCUAACAUCACCGGGUAGUCACUUUUUCUGAGGAGCAUCAACCAUUGCAGCUGUUGAACAAGCUCAAGCAAUUGAGUUUAAAACACUUAUUUCCAAAUGUUUUCAUUGCAUUAAGGUUGUUUCUGACUUUGCUUGCUAGUGUUGCAUCAGCUGAAAUAUCAUUCAAAUUGUCCAAAGAAACUGAAAUUUCCAAAAAAUUUAUUAUAUAGCUCCAUAAUUGACCUUUUUACAGCUGUAAAGACUUGGAAAUUGCUUUGUUAACUAACUAGAAAAUUACCUAAAGCUACUAGCUCUAUUUGACAAACAUAAUGGGGUUUUAAUACUGUUGCUGCUUCUACCUCAUUUCAUUUAAAGGUUUUUUCUAUUAUUGACAAGUUUUGAUAAUGGAGACACUGAAUUGCUAUCAACUGCACUGCUUACAAAGUUAUUAUCUAUGGGCCCCUAAAGUCAUGGGCCCCCGGGUCAGUGACCCUCCUGCCCCCUCCCCUCUCCUCAGCACUGCUCACAGCCUAAUUAUUUAAGAACAAACUAAGAACAAUCCAGGCUCAGAUUUUCGAAAAAAUUAAGAACAGCCAGCCUGAACUGCAAUUUUCUGGUUCUUAUUAGAAUCUUAUAUGACCCAAGAUUUCGCUGGAAGCAGUUUUGCCGCAUUGCAUUGUGGGCAGGCCAAAGUUUUGAUGAUUGGAAUAUUCGAUAAUUCGAAUUUCCUUUUGAAAUUCGAAUUUUCAGACCAUGAUCAGACGCUGGGAAUAUUGACUAGAUCUGUAAUCAUGGUUGCGUUUUCUGGAUUUGGCAACUUGAAUCUCUGUAACCCAGUUGCUAUGGUUUCUCCUUACGUAGGUGUGGUUUUGCGUUUUGAUAACCCACACGCAGCCCAUUAAGUGGAAAUUUCUCGAUAUUGAGUGUACAAUUUAAAUUGCCAUGUACUAGCCAUAAAGAUAAGAGAACUCUUUAGACUUUUUCUAUGGACAUCAUAAUUUCUCUUUCUUACUCCAUGCUACGGCGCCGGGCGUUGGGAAUGAGCAUCUGUAGGGUGUCAAUCAAACCAGCGGUUAGAUCUUCGCCAAAUAUCUGACUGGGGCAUGUUUCGUUAAUUGUCCAAUCUGCACUGGUUAACAGGGCUUUCAUUCCACAUACAUUAGAGUUGGCUGUUAUUUGCUCAUUAAGAUCUUAGGGGGUACCAAUCCUCUCGCCAAGUUGCUACGGGCCUCGUGCUGAUAAGGUACUUCUGCAGGAUAUAGUAUCUUACAUCAAUAUUACAUCUCUAGAGCAUUUUACAACAAUAGUUUUAGUAUACUCAGGUUUUUACUGUAUAAUAUGACAGCUCUUUUUACAUGAGUAUUUUCAGGUUAUUCUCAAUAUAUUCUCAAUAUAAUUCUUCUAACAGAAUAUUCUCAAUAUUUUCUGAAAAUCUCUAUUCAGGAGCAGUAGCGUAGCCUGGGUAGUAAGAAUGGUAAGGGGGGGGGGGACUUAGGUGAGUUCAAUGAGGGAAAAUGGGGAUCCACUCAAAGACUAUUACGGUCGCACGGUCACUGACCGGAGGAAGGUCCACGAAAAACAAUAAAAACUCCAAUGACACACCCAAGCCAAGCCCACUUUCUAUUGUUUUGUGAGGAAGGUUUGCCUUCUGGGAUGUUUCUGUCUGGAGAAAGGUUAACAACUUUUCUGGACUCUGGAUCCACACUUCUCUGAACGCCUAAAAACGCCAUUUUUCAAAAAGACUUAUUGCCAUUGGGGAAGGGAGCAUCUGCCUCUCUUGCCUCCUCCACACUACGCCAUUAGCUAAAAUCUUGAUCAGUGAUAAUUAUUGUUUGCGGAAAAGGUUCUAGAAAACAUGGUCUUCAAAAAAACUUUACUUUGUGGACGACACAGGGGGAAAUGGUUUUUUCUUGUGGUUACCACAAAAGCCAUGAUAAUUCCCCCAUUCUAUCUUACAUAAUUUUUUCACAGAUUAGUGCAUAUGCUGCUGAGGAUUUGCCAUCCACCUUUGUGAAUUAAAGGAUUGAUUUUUACAGGGACAGCAUGUCUCCCAUAAUUAUAUCUUAUAUUCCUUGCAUGCCUCGUACCCGUAUUGAGGCCCAGUGUAGCUAAUACUUCCAUGGCAAUAGGAAAAGUCUUGUCUUAUAAUAGGAAACAGUUCAUGGGCUACACUUAGGACUAUACUGCAGUUAUCAACGACGUGAUUCAGAACCGACAACUUGCGAUCUGAUUAAAGUAACUGGAAUUACUGUGAAAAUUGCUCUUCCGUAAAAGAUAUGCCGCUAUAGAAAUUUCUGUGAAUCUUUGGGAGCCUGGAUAUUCGGGCUGACUAGAACACCAGUGGUUAAUACCAGUCUACAUAAAGAGUAUGCCUUCAACACAACCACGUUUAAUCUUUCUUUUGCCCAAAAACAUCAAAUAAUUUGUAAUAUUGGUAACCAUACAGUUACUUCAGCCUUCUGUUACAAUCGAGAAGAAAGUACCCUGUCUUGAUAAAACGAUUUUGUGUUUCUGCAAGGAUUUAUCAUGUCAAACACAAUGCUCUUUUUGUGAAUAGAACGUAUAGACAGUAUGAAGUUCUUAGAGAAAACGUGAGCAAGUGACAAAGCCAUGACGAGAUUCGAACUCGUGUCAAGCGGCAUUGUACGCCGUUGUGCUACCAGUAUCCUGCCCUGGUCCUGUUUCUUACUCACAUAUUCUCCCAGUACAUUUUCUCAAAUCCUGUUCUGCACUCACCUUCAUAGUUCUUUUAAAUGAAGCUUUUCAAUCCUGGACAAAUAUUGUUUAGACUUUUCAAGAAAGGUUGAUGUUUUCUCUUUCCUUCGAAAAGACCUCCCCCCAAAUUGAAUGCUAAAUGCUUAUUUUUGAAGCAUGAAAGAUUGCACUACGUAUCCAACAUUGAUUCGGGAGAAACGGGGGAUACGGGAUUUCAAGGGCAACAUAAAGAAUUGCAAAAAUUGCAUUUUGUUUCGACAAUUUUGCCCGAUAUUGCUCCCUUUGGGUUUCUAAUAUGAGCUCCUCGGGGCAUUUUUCACUUUUUUGAAGCUUUGUUUUACUUUCUAAGAUUUAUUCAUUCCAUUCUCAACAACCUAUUAGCCACUUACUCUCUUGCGAAAUCUUCGUUCAAAGUUUCACAAUACAAUCGAUUAAACAGUUCCAUCUUUUCUUCUCCUUAUUGGACGACCAUCAAAGGUGUGAAAGGCAAUCAAGAGAGCUCUCAUAAUUUUCCGAACGAGUUUAAAGGGUAAUUACUGAAGCAACGUCACAAUGAACAAGCUUAAAGCCAGUUAUAACCAAUUAGGUGACACGUGAUUGAAGGGGUGUAUAAGUAUGUACCUUGCAGUUAAUCAUUUCACGAAUAACGAGAUCUAGUGUGAAGUAGACAUUAGCAACCUUGUGCCAGUGACAAGAAAGUGCGAGGUCGGCCCGUUAAAAGAUAGUCGGUUUGAAAUGGAAUACGGUAAGAUUUUUAAUUAAAAAUUUUUGCCACGAGUGGUUGCAUUUAAAAGCGUCGCUUUAUCAUAUAACCACUUUUACUUAUACAGAGAAAAUACGAUAUUGUUACUAACGUAAUUUGUUGUCAAUGUAACCACAAUCAGUAAUUUGCCUGUUAUCAGAAUUCCAACAUUACCAUUUUACUUAGAUCUUUUAAUCAUAUAUCAUUCUCUAAUUCAACGCAAUUAUUUUUCUUUUCUUCACAUAUCCACCGCAAAUAACAGCGGUCACGCAACUGUGUCUAGUGCUAUGUUUCCAAAAGUAUGGAAUGAUAUGACAUGAAUCCUAAAUGGUCUACGCUUUUUAUAAGAACAAUUGGUCCCAGCUUCAGCCUGGCGCUUCUUCUUUUUUUCGCAUAAUUUCAGCCUGACCUGUUUCUUAUUUAGUUUCUUUUUUUUGUAAUCGAAUUUUCUGUGCAUCGUAGUGUCUGGGCGUAACCUAUGCUGGAUAAAGUAGUUAAUGUUAUUUUGCUUAUCGCUUUCUGUUUUUCUGUUGCUAUUCUUUUAUUUUUCAACUAUUUCUUCUCUUUGGUUUUGUUGAAUUUCAGCCUGUCUUGUUUCUCAUAUUGUUCAGCAAAUCUCAGCCUGAUGUUUUUCAUAAGGGUUGUUCUUAUAAUAAAAUGUGUAUGAUGGAAUAAUUUGACGUGAAUCCUAAAUGGUCUAGCAUUGGGCCUAAAAUUAAUUACUGAGUACAAAAGCAUCUACAAGACCCAAGCUCCGUUCUUGUAAGGGUGUCAAUUUUUUUACAUUUUUAUCGCCCUUAAGAGUCAGCUUCAAACAUGUUUUCUUACAAACAUAAAGGCAUUUAGAGUUGUAAUUUUCACUAUGAAUUUCUAAACACGUGUUUAUAUCUCCGAUUUGAAAUUAAGGAAAUAUUAAGUAGAUUAGCCCUUAGGAACUUAGCUGAUUAUUCAAAUUAAUUUCCUGGAUAAGAGCUUUCAGUAAUAAUGCAAAUAUCGCUAAUUCGCAAUUUUCGCAAAAUCAUCUGCGAUGGAACAUUUCACGUAAUUACGAAUAUCACGUAAUUAACUAUCCAGCUUAGAUCAAAAUUUCUUGAAUUCAAUGCAGGGCGUAAUUGUAAUUCAUUCUUCAUUAACCCUUUUUAUCUAUAUUUGUCUCAGUAUACGUAAGUUAAUUAUAGCUGUCAAACCUGUUAUUAAUUUCCAUACCAAGUACCUUAUUUGUAAAAAUGAACUUAUGAACUGGGGAUUGUUCAAGGGGACUUUUAUUCAAGAUGAUUAUUAAAUGGUAGAUUUAUGAGCUACCAAGAUUAUUCAACCAAAAAAUACGGAUAUCACUUUGAAAUCCUUAUCUUGUGCAAGAAACAUAUUAAGUAAAAUCCUUUUUAUCUGUCAAUUUCUCCUGUAUCAACUGGCAGUUCAGAAGGUGCGGCAAGAUAAACAUCCUCCGGGCAGGAAUCGGAAUAAAUUGAUCCUCAAAGAAGGCUUGCUCGAGGAUGAAUACUUAGGAGAUGGAGGCUUCUUUUAAGUGGGACUUGAUCGAGGAUAUGAGUACCCGUGUCACUCGCUGAUCUAUACUAAUAUCUUGUUUAUAGCAAUCAGUAGUAUUGCUCCCAUAGCGCAGAGAUGCCUUUUCCACUCUUGUCUCCUCCGCAAUGAUCGUUCCUCUUCGCAACCUGAACUGAAUUCUUCUUCGCAGUAAAAUUGACUUCCCAUACGUAUUCAACAUUAAAGAUACUGUAAGCUUCUCAGGGUAGAGGUCCCUGUUAAUCCCUGGGAAUUGCAUUUCGCUUGAAGUAAUUUGAAAAGAAAGACUGGCAAUUUAUUAUUUAGUCUAACAAUUCAACUGCCUCGCAACUUAUUAUUAAGAGUGAUGGGCAUGCCCCCAGUUUCCCAAGUGAAUUUACACAUUUAUUAUUAAAUGUUAAGAUUACUCCAAUCAAAGACUAUAUGAAGUGUUUCUAAUUGCAUUUGCUACUGGGUACCGUUGUGAAACACUUUUGCACAUUUGCUCCAGCCCCCCGAUCCGAAAAAGGAAUGCAUGUUGUGGUCGUCCUAAUUAUAUUUGAAAUCCUGUUUCUUUUCUAAAAAAGGAAUUUCCUCGACAGCAUAAUACAUCUUACCAAUCUCUGUUACAUCUCGUUUCCUGAAUUAACUCGUGAACCUGUUGAAUCACAUCGUAUUUGAACGGUCUAAACCAAAGAGCGCUGACCCUGAGGUUUUUAAAACAGUGACUGUCAUAUUUACAUAUUGACCCUAAUAAUCUCCUAGUUCAAAGGCUUCUGAACACGGAUUACGCACAGCAAAUCAUUUCGGUGUAAACUUUGGGCUUCCUUUCACAUCCAAGUUUGCCGUGUCGUAAACAGAUCGUUACAGCAAGGAGAAGGGUCGAGUUAUUCCCUGUUGUGCCUAUCUUCGAAAAUAUAUUAUUGAUGAUUUCAAAGAGUAUCAUUGUCAAGAACCAGUCAAUAAACUGAAUUCACCAUGCCAAUGUCAGAUGAUAGCAUCUUGCUGCCAAAGCCAGUUAUAGACUCCUGUUAUGCAUCUAUCUUCCGCUGUUACCAGGAAAUGUUUCCAGCAUCAUUCAGUUCAAAAACAGCACUGACAAAAAAACUGAGCAUUAGCUAUGAUCUUAGCACGUGCAGACUAAAACCUCUGGGGGAUGAGCCAACUGGGAUACCCUUCUCACGGUCACCAAGGAACUCUCCAAGGUCUUCCCUGAGGGAAUCGAAAAGCAAGAGUCCAUUGCAAGUGAUGGCUAGCUUACGUAGAAGCUUUCGAUGAAAUAAUUAGACGUGCAGUUUUCUGCAAAAUGAUGCGACAGCUGCUUGUGUUGCUGCACAAAUGAGAAUAUUUUCCAGCUUCCAGCAGAAAUUCUUGGUAACAGUAAUCGUAAUAUUAAAAUGGUAGUAACUAAUAAUCACAAAAGCUUCAAUGAUUCUUUAAUGACUUAAAGGCAAACUGCCUGGAGAUUUGUAAUAUUUAAUUUGGCUAGUUAGUUAUUGUUCCUCGUGUAGAGUCAAAUCUUUCAUUAUGAAAGAUAAAGUAUGCAGGCUCUUGUACAGCACUUGAUGAGUUCCUGACUAUAACAACAACAAUAUCAAUCAAAAUUUUUCCAUGUCAUCAGUUCCCAUAUUUUUUGCGCAAGGCCCCAAGAACAGUUCUUGAUAGGCCUGCUAGAUGAUACUAUGAAUUUUCGGCUAAAUUUUUUUCAAAUGUAGUAAGCUUUUUGGGAACUUUUUUAGAGGGCCAGCUGAAUAUCCAAGCACUAAAAAAUAAACUUAUUGUCAAUGUUUGAAUUUAUGUAUACGAUUUUGGUAUUGGAAACGAAAUUUUUUUGUUCGAUUGGGGUCCAUAUCUGCUUUAUGCAUUAAGAUGCAUUUGAUAGGAUUUUCUAUUAGAUAGGUAGCUUAAACAUAUUUUGUAAUGGUUUGCCCUACACCUAAAGAGUAAUGGCCUGCCCUAAACAAAUUUUCUUAAUUGAAAAGGCAGUAUAGUUUUCUGUUUUUAAGAAAAUUAUGAUGCAAAUUUGUACAAUAUUUACAAAGUUUAUAUUUUCUACGAAUUUGAAAGGUAUUUAUACGAAUUAGCUGUAAUUAUGAUUCAUCAUAGUGGGACUUAGCAUAUAGCUUUAAAA